CAAGUACUCCCUCCGUUUCGAAUUACUUGUCGCGGGUAUGGAUGUAUCUAGAUGUAUUUUAAUUCUACAUACAUUCAUUUCUGCGACGAGUAAUUUGAAACGGAGGAAGUAGUAU
rnacentral:pre_miRNA from 1 species